rnacentral:rRNA from 1 species
UACGUAGGGUGCAAGCGUUGUCCGGAAUUAUUGGGCGUAAAGGGCUCGUAGGCGGUCCAUCGCGUCGGGAGUGAAAAGCUGGGGCUUAACCCCAGUCCUGCUUCCGAUACGGGUGGACUAGAGGUAGGUAGGGGAGAACGGAAUUCCUGGUGUAGCGGUGAAAUGCGCAGAUAUCAGGAGGAACACCGGUGGCGAAGGCGGCCAUCUGGACGACAACUGACGCUGAGACGCGAAAGCGUGGGUAGCAAACAGG